GGCAGAGAUUGCGAACGUCAGCCUCCUAAGUGGAACCUGUUUUAUUCAAUCCAUGAAAAAGUUAUUCUGACUGUGACAAAGUAACGCACACUCUAUGGAGACUUCCGAUUUUGGAAGGAGCUAGGUGUGCUCCCUUCAGGGUGCGCCUUCUCUAAAAGGCAAUACAUUCUCUUUUCAAUGGUGCAGCUCUGACCUCUGCUGGCCACAGACUUUAAAGACAACCCCAAAGGGAAUAAGGCUGACUUCUUUUGCGGUUUAAAGAAAACAAGCUAUAUUUGUAUGAAACCACAGAAUUCUAGUACUAGGACAUCCAGUCCAAUUCUCUGCACUAAGGCAGAGUCCUUUGCACCCAGACUUAUUAGCCCACAUCCACCAAUUACUUUAUCCCACAUCCUUGGAUUAUUGUGGAUUAUUCCACAAGCAGAGUGCACAACCAAUCAAGAGGCUCGAUGCCAGUAAAAAAAGGGGGGGGAGAGGCGAGAACAUGUGUACUCAAUCAAAUCCAGAUGGCUCCAGCAAAGGAAUGGUGCCAUAUGGCAACAUGCCACAGGGAAAGGCGGACAUACGCCCCCAUGUCGGGUCACCUGCCAAUUUAAAGAGGAAGAAACUAAUACUACUUAAUAUUUACACAUGUACAUGUGCUUCAUGCACACUGUCAGAGUAAUCCGUGCAAACAGCUAGCCAUUAUUAUUCUACUAUUAUGGCAGAUGGAAACAGAAAUGGAGAUACAGCAGUUGACGGCCACCCAGUUGUAGCAGGAGGGAAAGCUGACUUACUCUGUGGCAGGGAGUUUAUUUGGGGCUGGAGCAUUGGCAGGUAUGCGCAAGGGGAGGGGAGAGCAGAAGACGCCAAGGACAGCCACAACAGCAUUGACUUUGUUCCUGGACUCUGCCAUAAUAGGGCUUCUAUUGAGAGAUACGAUUGAAGGCAAUAGGGCAUGGAUGCAGGUGUGAGUGGUUUGGUGGUGAGCAUUUGCUCGGUGGGUGGUUGGGCAUUGGGGCAAUCCUUUGUUUUGGAUGGAAGGGAGGUUGUAUCUGCCUGCCCCUCCAAAUGCUGGGGUAUUUUGUUAAAGGGAUCUGGGGGGAGUGGCCUGGGCCAGGGCCAGGGCCAAAGCACUCCCCCAGACAGUGGUCCCUGUAGGGGUCACCCUAAUGGAUGUAAGUCUUAGGAACCUCUGCCUGGAUUGACCACGCGUCACUUCCAACGGGCGGGCUGGAAGUAUUUAGAUUGCCCCAUGCCCAAUUCAAGCCUCUUUCAUCUGUAUUCAAUAAAGUUGUGGCCUGUUUUGACUCCAAACCAGUCUCUGUGGUCUCUCAUUAUACAGGUUGGGGUAUGUAAGUCCUUCAAGAAGAAUUGUGGAUAAGCCGCAAGACUUUACAUAAUACUUGGAUAUAAGUAUGGCAGUGCAAAUUAUAGUUGCAAUUCUUGUUACACAAUAGGAGCAUCCAACAUGUUCUAUGGCAACCCGGAAAUGGGGGAAAGAAAGGUGUGUAGUAUCAGGUUUAAAGAAAUCUUAACGUAAGAAUUGAACUCAGUCACAAGAUUUCCCCAAUGUGCCUCAAACUUGGCAAGUAGAUUGGAAGAUAUCCAGAGUAUCUGAGUGCCCAGAUCUUGUGGCACAGCCAAGCAGCCUGGAGGCCCACCUUUUAUAUCUGUAGCAAAAACCUUCCCUUGUAUACACUUGUACUAGCUUACACAACAAUCCAGUCAUUCCUCAAGUAUUUCUUUUAUAACACGUUAAUGAGUGUGCAUCUAAUAGCGUGAGAUUAAGAGUGUUCUGCUUUGUAUACAAGUAGUCAGCACCUGUAAUGGCAGGUCAAAGGGAAAAAAGGGAGGAAGUGCAUUUUGAAAGACAUGGAAGACUCCAGCCGGCAUUCCUGCCCUCUGUCAUGUGCCCUGCAGUGCUGUUGGGACCAGGCUCCAACAGAACAGGAAGAAACAGAAGAAAGGGGCAGAGUUGUGGGAACCAGGGUUGAAGGGGGGUGUGGAAACUCCCAUUUCCACCCCAACUUCAGUCACUUUGCAAAGGGGAACAGGAAUGCUGACUGUCCCCUCUGACCUUCCUGUAGAACAGGAAGCCUCAGUGGAGGCUUGGCAGGACUUUAAUCAGCUGAAGUGGCAGCGAUUGAACAGAGGCCUUAGGUUGCAGUGUUGUCACCUAGGAGCAGAUACAGUGGUACCUCUGGUUACAAACUUAAUUCAUUCCGGAGGUCCGUUCUUAACCUGAAACUGUUCUUAACCUGAGGCACGCCUUCACUAAGGCGGCCUCCCGCUGCCGCCGCCACGCCACUGGCCCACGACUUCCACUCGCAUCCCAGGGCAAAGUUUGCUACCAGGAGCACCUACUUCCGGGUUAGCAGAGCUCAUUACCGGAAGCGUUUGUAAGGAGGACGUACGUAACCCGAAGUUCCACUGUAAUGCCUUUGCAAAUGGGAACAGACCUAUAUGCCUUGACAGAGCCUGUGCUUAUAUUCCAGGUAUUCUCACAAGGCAAGAGAGCCUUACAAGUAGUGCCUCAUCUAUAAAAGCUUGGUGGAAUGGCGGAGAAACCUGUUGGGACAUCUUUGUCACUUCUGUUCAGUUCUGAAUUUCUUGCCCUGCUCCUGAAUCAUGACUGCUGAGCACUGCAUCUGCUGCGGAGCCUGUGCCGUUACUUGCCUGAAUAAAGAUCUCUUCCUUCCUUCCAAGUGCUAUUCUCUGCCUGUAUAUGUUGCGGGGGAGCCAGGACAUCACAAACCUUUGUUAAUAAAUGGGGCGGGGGGGUUGGUUGGUUAGUGAGAUGUGUGACCUGAUUCUAACUAAGUAUACCUAGGAUUUUCAAACAUGCCUUCUAUACAUCUCUGGCACACUUAUAACAGGGCAACUAAGAACAUCAGUGCUUUAAAAACCAUCUAGUGUAGUAGGUCUGCCUUCCCUAUUUUCCUGUCCAUCACCUCUGAAAAAAACGUGUUCAAGCCAGGAAUGGGGAACCUGUGGCCCUCUAGGUGUUGUUGGAUUCCAACUUCCAUCUUCCAUGACCAUUGGAUCAUGCUGACUGGGGCUGAUGGGGGUUGAAGUCCAAAACAUGUGUCGGGCACCAGGG